rnacentral:rRNA from 2 species
AGGUGCGAUCAUACCAGCACCAAUGCACCGAAUCCCAUCAGAACUCCGCAGCUAAUCGUGCUUGGGCGGGAAUAGUACUAGGAUGGGUGACCUCCUGGGAAGUCCUCGUGUUGCACCUC